rnacentral:rRNA from 1 species
GUCGACGGUGAUGAGGAGCUUGCUUCUCUGAUCAGUGGCGAACGGGUGAGUAACACGUGAGCAAUCUGCCCUUGACUCUGGGAUAACUGCGGGAAACUGUAGCUAAUACCGGAUACGACCUGAAGAGGCAUCUUUUUGGGUGGAAAGAAUUUUGGUCAAGGAUGAGCUCGCGGCCUAUCAGCUUGUUGGUGAGGUAAUGGCUCACCAAGGCGACGACGGGUAGCCGGCCUGAGAGGGUGACCGGCCACACUGGGACUGAGACACGGCCCAGACUCCUACGGGAGGCAGCAGUGGGGAAUAUUGCACAAUGGGCGCAAGCCUGAUGCAGCAACGCCGCGUGAGGGACGAAGGCCUUCGGGUUGUAAACCUCUUUUAGUAGGGAAGAAGCGACUGGGUUUUCCUGGGAGUGACGGUACCUGCAGAAAAAGCACCGGCUAACUACGUGCCAGCAGCCGCGGUAAUACGUAGGGUGCAAGCGUUGUCCGGAAUUAUUGGGCGUAAAGAGCUCGUAGGCGGUUUGUCGCGUCUGCUGCGAAAACCCGAGGCUCAACCUCGGGCCUGCAGUGGGUACGGGCAGACUAGAGUGCGGUAGGGGAGAUUGGAAUUCCUGGUGUAGCGGUGGAAUGCGCAGAUAUCAGGAGGAACACCAAUGGCGAAGGCAGAUCUCUGGGCCGUAACUGACGCUGAGGAGCGAAAGCAUGGGGAGCGA